UACGUAGGUGGCAAGCGUUUGUCCGGAUUUAUUGGGCGUAAAGAGCUCGUAGGCGGCUUGUCGCGUCGACUGUGAAAUCCCGCGGCUCAACUCGGGUCUGCAGUGAUACGGGCAGGCUAGAGUUCGGUAGGGGAGACUGGAAUUCCUGGUGUAGCGGUGAAAUGCGCAGAUAUCAGGAGGAACACCGGUGGCGAAGGCGGGUCUCUGGGCCAUAC
rnacentral:rRNA from 1 species